AACUAUCAAAGGCACAAUAACUGUAUCACCUCCGAUACAAAACAAAAGGUCAAGCAGGCGUAAUAGUCAAACAGUUCGCUUUCAAUGACGAAAAUUUUAAUUUUGCUUGGGAAACUCUAAAAGCACGUUACGAAAACAAAAGAAUAUUGGUCGACAAGCAAGUAACGACACUACUAAACUUGCCUAAAAUCAAGAAAGGAACAAGUGAAGAAUUUGUAACACUACAAUCCACUGUUUCAAAUUGUUUGUCCAUACUAUCGACAUUAAAUAUUCCCACAGACAGCUGGGACCCAAUUCUGGUAAACAUUUGCACCGCCGCAUUACCAGAAAAGUCGUUACUACUAUGGGAGCAAUCGCUCUCAUCACGAAAAAAGUGCCCAACGUGGCAGCAAAUGAAAGAUUUUCUCACCACCCAAUAUGAAAUUGCGGAAAGGUUAGAAGAAAAAACUAAGAACAUUAAACACGACCAAAAUAGAAGCUUAAACAGACCCCAAGUUAGAAGCAAAAACAAAUCAAACAUAAUUUUUAACAAAACACAAUCGUUCACAUCCGAACAAAGAAAACACACGUCAUGCGAACUAUGCACAAGAGGGCAUAAGCUUAAAACUUGCGAGAAGUUUAAAAAAUUAAACAUUAACGAAAGGAACAACUUUGUCAGAUCAAAAAGACUCUGUACAAACUGCUUGUCCAAUACACAUAAUCUUAAAAAUUGCAAAAGUAAAUACAAUUGCAUAUAUUGUCACAAAAGACACAAUUCAAUGCUGCACUACAGCACAUACCCUAACUCACCCUAUAAAAGCGCUAAUAAAUCAAGAACCACGGGAUUAAUUGCAAACACAAAUCCCAAAAACCAAAAUUGUAAAAAAAGCCAAGAGACACCAUGUUGCUCAAAGGCACAAAAAGUUCAAACGCUGCACAGCGAAGCACAAGGUGGACUUGUUACUGAACUAGUUACCACCAUACCAACUCAAGUUGAGGACAAAUACCUUAAUACAACACACACAAUUAAGGAAAUUACAAAAGUUAAGAAAACUUCCAUUAACAAACAAAACUAUACAAGAUCAGUAUUGUGAGCACUUCUCUAAAGCCUCAAAUACUCGAUCAAAUAAUAUAAUAAUCUCUAACGAGCUCUCAAUUACUUAAAACAAAAACAAACCGAACAGAAUUACAAGACAUUACAGUUUAUACAUUGCCAGUAUAUAGUACAUUAGCACAAACAAUUCGUGCAUACUUAGGCACAAAGCGAAUUGAUCUCUAUAACGAGCUCUCAAUCGCACAAGCAUAAGUACAUACAUACAUAUUUAUAUACAAGUCCGAGUAUUAGGGUGUACCUAAUUACAAAAUUUCGGACAUCAAAUAUUUUAAUAUAUAACAAAGGCGGUUUAAAAGUAAUUUACAAUUCAAAAUAAAAUAUAAAUAAAAAUAAUAUUGCAAUAACAUUGCAAAACGAUAUUAAUUAAAAAUACGUUUUUACACAUAUAAUCUAAAACCAAAAAAAAAAAAACUCUUUAAAAGAGUAUUCAAUUUAUUAUACUUUAUCGCUUCUAUUAGAAUAUCAUAAAUCAGUUUACACUGAAAAAAUCUUUUACAGUAUUUUAAUAUACAAAUAUACAAUAUAAUAAAAAUGGUUAAUAACGAAAAAAAUCGUAAUACACCUGCAGCAGCUUUACGCUCAAAACAGGCUAUUAAAUUCAUUUCAGAAAGUGACAUUUUAACAAGAUACUGCACUAGAUUUGCCUCUUCACCGAUUCACGAAAACUCGGAAUCGUUACUAGAAAUCAAAAUUGUAAAUCUUAAUAAUUUUUGGACACGACUCCAAGCGGCUCAUGAUGCCAUAGUAGAAUCUGAAGGUUCAGAUCUACCUCAAAAUUUUAAAUCAUCGGCUUACGAUAUUUACGAAAACUGCUUGGACCAAUAUGAGGAAACCAAAGCUAUGAUCUCCGAUCAAUUAAAGCUAAUUAAAGCAAUUGCCCCUACUCUCCACAGUAGAGUAGAGCUGCCACAAAUGGACAGUCACGAGGCAAGUUCAGGCAUCCACCUCGAGUUGCCUGCAUGUGACACAGAAACAUUCUAUGGAGGUUAUGAAGAAUGGCCGUCCUUCCGGGACAUGUUUACAGCCGUUUACAUCAACCAUCCACAACUAUCAAAGGCACAAAAACUGUAUCACCUCCGAUACAAAACAAAAGGUCAAGCAGGCGUAAUAGUCAAACAGUUCGCUUUCAAUGACGAAAAUUUUAAUUUUGCUUGGGAAACUCUAAAAGCACGUUACGAAAACAAAAGAAUAUUGGUCGACAAGCAAGUAACGACACUACUAAACUUGCCUAAAAUCAAGAAAGGAACAAGUGAAGAAUUUGUAACACUACAAUCCACUGUUUCAAAUUGUUUGUCCAUACUAUCGACAUUAAAUAUUCCCACAGACAGCUGGGACCCAAUUCUGGUAAACAUUUGCACCGCCGCAUUGCCAGAAAAGUCGUUACUUCUAUGGGAGCAAUCGCUCUCAUCACGAAAAAAGUGCCCAACGUGGCAACAGAUGAAAGAUUUUCUCACCACCCAAUAUGAAAUUGCGGAAAGGUUAGAAGAAAAAACUAAGAACAUUAAACACGACCAAAAUAGAAGCUUAAACAGACCCCAAGUUAGAAGCAAAAACAAAUCAAACAUAAUUUUUAACAAAACACAAUCGUUCACAUCCGAACAAAGAAAACACACGUCAUGCGAACUAUGCACAAGAGGGCAUAAGCUUAAAACUUGCGAGAAGUUUAAAAAAUUAAACAUUAACGAAAGGAACAACUUUGUCAGAUCAAAAAGACUCUGUACAAACUGCUUGUCCAAUACACAUAAUCUUAAAAAUUGCAAAAGUAAAUACAAUUGCAUAUAUUGUCACAAAAGACACAAUUCAAUGCUGCACUACAGCACAUACCCUAACUCACCCUAUAAAAGCGCUAAUAAAUCAAGAACCACGGGAUUAAUUGCAAACACAAAUCCCAAAAACCAAAAUUGUAAAAAAAGCCAAGAGACACCAUGUUGCUCAAAGGCACAAAAAGUUCAAACGCUGCACAGCGAAGCACAAGGUGGACUUGUUACUGAACUAGUUACCACCAUAUCAACUCAAGUUGAGGACAAAUACCUUAAUACAACACACACAAUUAAGGAAAUUACAAAAGUUAAGAAAACUUCCAUUAACAAACAAAACUAUACAAGAUCAGUAUUGUGAGCACUUCUCUAAAGCCUCAAAUACUCGAUCAAAUAAUGGCCGGUACGCUGUACGACUACCACUAGAGCCACAAUUUUGCAAUGCCCCACAUAAAGGUAGAAAAAGCAAGGUCAGAUUCCCUCUGACAACCACAUAUAAAAACACAAAAAUAUGUUCGUAACCUUUCGACCCCGCAGGAUGGCAUCCGCCAAUAAUGAUCAAAAAAUCCUGCUUAAAAAAUCACAAGUUAUGUGGCGCUCUACUAAACGCCAAAUUAGUGCAUACGCACUAAAACAUAAAAUACACAAUUGUAUCAAAAAAUCGAAAAAUCGACAUUUUAAAUAAAAUCUUAAACAAAAUUAAGUUUCAACGAGCACCAAAUGCCCAAUUCGAUAGUGUGGCGCACCUAGACUUACAAAAAGCAAAGGUCGUUCUUAUCGUUCUUACAUAAGCGCUCCUCAUAUGGGUAGUGGAUGGGAUUCUGUUGUCAAAUUUUAACAUUCUACUUCAAAAAAGUAGCUAGAAAUUACCACAGUACAAUUCGAAAUGAAGCCGUUCGCAAUUCACGGCACUCUCGCAAGAUCCCUCUAAUUUCAUAGUCCUAAAUCUAGGGCUAAGGAGUACCCAUUCUGGCCACAUCUGAGCCAGGCAUGGAGUAACUAUCCUUUAUAAGCAGAGGCAAAUUAUAAACAACCGGUAUACCAUACCGAUGAAAUACGAAAUUUAAAUAACCGCUAGUAAAAUAAAUAAAAGCAAACAAUUUUUUUUCUAUAAUAAUAAGUCGUCAAAACACGCAAAAGGAAAUUACUACCUAAAGCACCACUACUUACAUAAAAUACAAAUGUAUACCAAAACCAAAAUCGCUUCUUACAGCUUAUUUUAUGCAACCUCGGCUACUUCGCCAACACUAAGCAAAUUACAUGUAUCACCUUAUACAAAAUACUAGGCAAAAUAUUCGCCUAGGGGGCCCAGGAUGUUUAAAUGAGUUAAGCAUCCCCCCACUUUAACCGGAAAAACUAGCACACACUAAUACUUGACGACACCACACUCGCACACAAGACAACUCACCACGCUUGUACAUCCACCCACUAAGCAUAAAGGAUGGUCUCCUAAGCAGAUUCAAAACAUUCGUGCCAGCAAUUUCGUCACAUACAAUUCGCUACCAACAUUCGUUUUACACACUGCGCCGCGUCGACGCCUUUCGCCAUAUACGCAUCGCUGAUACAAAUUGGAUUCUUCGCUACCAAGUUCGCAUAGACACUGCCUCUUCGAUACCUACGCGCUUCUACGGGGAUUUUUACCUUUUCUUAUCGAUGCGCGGAAAUUCGACCAGCCGCACCGUGAAAUCAUCUUCGGCAUUGCAGUCUCGCCGCCCCGCAUAUUACCAUUUUUUUAAAUAAAACUUAAAAUAUUUGUAACAUUUAAGUUUAUAAUUUUGUUAUUAUAUAUUUCUAAAAUAAAAACAAAAUUUAUAAUAAAAUAAAUUUUGUACCCUUUAAACAGUAUUAGUUAAGAAAGGUUAAGAUGUAAUUUGUCGAUGGAAAUUGGAAUAAAUUUUUAUAAGUCGAUUGAAUAAUAACAUAGCAAUUUUGUUAAAAUUGCACGAGGUCGUGUAAUGGUCAGGAUGACCGUGUCGGCGCACCCUAAUGGUGUGUGGAUAUUGGUAUGCGUGUGUGCGUGUAUGUGUAUACAGUUUAGGGAAUUUCAUUAAAAGUCUAAGUUCCUCAUUAUUCCAUCAGCCGCUAAUUAUGCUGUGAUUGGUUGUGACUUCAAGAAGUACCCCAUUAGCGGGGCAACAGCGUGGCGUCGCCACCAUCGAGUGUGGUUGUCUGCAUGUCGUCUCUUCAAGGAAUACCGUUUUAGCGGGACGACAGCGUGGCGUCGCUAUCGCCGAGCGUGGUUCGGUGGUAAGAUCAAAAGGAAGAAAACGACGUAGAGUCAGUCGAGUUGAGGACUUGAUCUUGUGAAGUCGUGUUCAAGAGUUCAAGUGUGAAAAUAUUGUGAAGUGUAAGUGUGAAACCGAAACUCGCUACGCUGUAACCAUGUCUAACGAAGACAAUGGUAUUCCGACAUAUGCAAGUACAAAUCAAUUUCAAAUCAAGAUAUUAUCAGUAAUAUAAAAAGCGCGCACUUCUCUCUUUUUACGUACACACAUAUGUACAUAUGUAUGUAUGUGCGUAUGACAUUCUCACAAAUAAUAUAUGCGUACGCAUGUAAAUCAAAAAAUACAAACUUUCUUCUGGAAAAACAACAAUAGUCCCAAAAAUCAUCAUACAUACCUACAAUAUGUGUACACAUGUAAGUAUGUGCGUAUGACAUUCCCACACAAACAAUGAAUACACAACAUACAUACUUACAUGCGUUCACAUGUGGAUAUGUCACCCGCAAAAAUUACAAAUAUUGUUCUACAAAAACAACAAUCGUUAGAAAAAGCAUCAGAAACCAAUAUGGCAGCCAAAUUGUCGGCGUCAAAAUUUAUAGUAAAUUAACGUACUUUCAAAAAGCAGACACCUUUACAUCUCCCCGAGCAUGCCUUGCCCACAAGCGUCUUUUCGCGACGAUUUCAAAAGCUAAAAUUCAUACAUUGAAUAUAUUUCUAAAAUUUUAUGGAAGGAAAAAGUGACAACCCCGCAAAUAUAUAUCUAGAAUUUCCAACAUAGUUUAUUUGUCGAUUUUCAAGUCAAGAAAUAUUUCAAAGAAAAUAUUCAAUAUUCCUCAGAUUUAUGUGUACAGUCAAUCCCGGUUAAGUAGUACUCCGCCUAAGUGCCAAUCCCUCUUAACUUCCUGUAUCUUGGUGCAUCUCAAGCUUUGUUUUUUGAAAUACAUUCAAACUAUUGUUUUAAGUACGACUCGGUUAAGUGUCCGCAGUCGCUUAUGUACCAUAUUAUAUCUUUAUUUUUAACAAACCACAAAAAUCUGUAUCUUUGAGUGUGGGAUUGACUGUAUUUGUCAAGGAAUAUAAAAAAUAGUUGUAAUUUUGAAAUAUUUUUAUGCGGUUGGCAAAAAUUUGCGUCGAUAUGUAUGCAAGCUCACACACAAACAUACAUAUUUAUGCUGGUUUGUUGGCGAAACUGUACAGCGGCAAGCAAAGCGGUGACAAUCGGCGGCCAUUCGUUUAUUUUUUUCGGGACAGCUUGGAUUUUCUACCAACAACACAAUGUUUGACUUUUUGACAAAACUUGAAGUUCGGACAUUGGUUGUCCAUGACAACGGAAUUUUUGUAUGAAACAGUGGGUGUACAUAUGUAUAUAUUUACACACAAAGUUAUGUGUUGACAAAUUUACAAACAUUAUGCGAAUGAUUAUUUCAAAUCUGUUUACGUGCACACAAAAUUACAUACAUACAUAUGUAUGUGAAUAUGUGAGCAUUAUGCGUAUGGCUUUUAAAAUCUGUUUACAUGUACACAUAAUUAUUAGUGAUGAGCGAUAUUUCACUACCGGUGGUUUUUUCACUGUGAUUGAAAAAUCGCAAAUCGCAACUGCGAUCACUUUUAAUAAAUAGCAGUUCGCUUCUAUGAACUGCAACUGUGAUCGCAGUUCGAACCUGUGAAUUGCGAUCGCAAUUCGAAACUGUGAUCGCAGUUUGAACCUGUGAAUUGCGAUCGCAGUUCGAAACUGUGAUCGCAGUUCGAACCUGUGAAUUACGAUCACAAUAGCAAAUAGCAGAAAAGUAACAACUUUCUUCAGGGUAUUGUAUAUAUCGUAUAUGCUAUUUUUCGUCAUAGCGGUUUGAAGUUUUGAGCGUAACGUUCUUAUAAUUUUUAAUAAUGGCAGCAAAUGUAUCAAGGAAAAGAAGUGAAGUGUGAUGUUUGAAGUGGUAGAUGAAGUAUAAUCAAAAUGGAAUAUUUUAAUUUGUUUUAAUAAAAUUUUUAAUUUUACUUAUUGUUAAAACCAAAUUUGAAAGCUUUUUGUGAUGAAAACAAGAAUUGUAACUAAUUACUUUCAGAAAAAAUGAUGGAAUAAAAAAAUUACGGGUUUUUAAUAUUUUCCCAAAGAUUAGGAAACUCGCGUUAAUUAUUUGGUCUUGAAAAUAUUAAAAGCGGGUAUUCUGAACAAAUAAAUUAUCAACCACACUAAUGGUAAUUCCUUCUAAGAAAUGUGUGAAACCAUCAUACCAACAUACAAAUGAACUAUGCAAUACGCCCUAAGUGUCAGGUAACCGAACCGCUCCAACAUUUGCGAAAAUGUAGUGAAAAGAAAGGCGGAAAAACUUGAAUUUAGUUACAGGAGCCAAAAGAGAAUUUUUCCGCCAAUAACGACAAAAUGUUUCCGUCGUUCCCACGACAGUCGGGUCUACGUAAGUGGAACAGACCCGGACUUUUAUUCGGCCAAACAGUGUCAGAUUGGCAGAAUCUGCCGCUACAAUAACAACAACAACGACGUUUGAACGCCGACUUAGUUGCGAUCGCAAUAGCAAUAUAAAAUCACAGUGAUUUAAAAAUAGCAAUCACUGAAAUCACAGAUAUUCUAAAAUCACAAUAUCGCUCAUCUCUAAUAAUUAUAUGCAAGUUAAUGACAGCCUCCACACAGCCACUUGACCAUAACUGUAAACAAUAUUCAAUCUUCACACUUUGUAGUUGUGCGGCUUCAUAAAUUAAAAUAGAAUUCGAUAUACUUUUUCCGUUCACAUUAUAAUAAACAAUUCUUAUCUAAACAAUAUUUGUAGCCCUCACAAGAAGGCAUAAUAAAAUCAAAACAGAACACUUAACGUUCUGCCUAAAAAUGCUGAAUAUGAUAUUAAUGUAAAUUGACACUUUCUUUGUUUCAAACUCAACUUCAAUGUGUAAUAACUUUAAGCAAAUAAUAAGUAAAUGUAUAAAUAUUAGUAACUUGGAAAUAAGAGAUAGAUUUUGUCUCUGCGCGUUGGCAGAUAGAAAAAAUAUAUUUUUUUACGAAUUCCCGCGAUACGGGAAUUAAUUGGCGCCCAACGUGGGGCGACGAAAAACAAAAUAUCCUGGGAAAAGGAUACGUGAUCGUGGAUCCUUAUAAAAGAUAAAUAAUAAAAAUAUAAAAUCCUCGUGCGAAAGGUAAUAUGCAAAAAAGCAUAAUAAUAAUAUCUCAAUAUUCAACAGAAAGCCUAUGAUGCUAGCGCUGCGUACUUUAGUUUGUAUAAUAAUUUGUUUAUUAUGUAAACUUUAAUAAAAUAAAAAAAUAAAAUAUCUCAAUAAAAGUGAGAAAAGUUAAAAGUCAAAACCAAAACAUGCUAUGCCGCGUAAACUAACAAAAAAUAAUAAUACGAAAUCUAAUAUAUAACACAUGUCGUGUCGCCAAAACAAAAAAAAUGUAAUUAAUAUUAAAAUAAAAUAUAUUAUAAAUAUAAAAUUAAACAUUAAUAAAACAUAUUACCCAAAACACACUAAAAACUAAAACAAAUUAAUGUAAAUAAAACUAUCAAACAAACAAAUACAUAUCAACAACAUUUGUGACUACAGCAACGUGAGAAAUGCCAGAAAACUUAUAGAAAACAGUGAGAGUAAAGACGAAACAACAAGAAGACAACAGAGGAAAACAUUGGAGAAAGCAGUGACUGAAGUACAGACAGAAAAUGAUAAAGCAAACGCAUACUGAGUUAUUAAAUAUUGAUGGAGAGUUAGAAACUCUUCCCGCAGUCAUUCCAAUUGUGAAACGUCAAAAGCUACCAGAUCCAGUCAAAUGUCAAAGUUUAGAGCGGCUCUUUCAUUUCCAGUGACAGGAGAGUUGGGGAUCUCUUUAUCUCUGAUGUAAAUUUAACUUACCACCGCUUCUACCGUCCGUCCAAUAGAUAUCCGUUAAAAUUGGAUAUUUCCCUUAGAAACGAGUCAGAUGCUCACUAUUUUACAAUAAAGAGUUGCCGGUCUCGAUAUUUUAUAGUAAUUAAAAAAUAAACUUGAAUAUAUUUUACAUUUUCUUAAAGUAAUUCAGAAUCACAGUUAAAUACUAUUAUUAUAAAUAGUUAGACCAUUUUUAAUAGUUGGAUUUUAAUUUUGAUCUUUUACUUGAUGACAAAUUAUAACUGAAAUGCACCAUAUAAACAUAAUAAAACGGGCCUCUCUGUUCACUUACGCUCUUUUAGCACAUGCUAGAACCAAAAAUAAAGAGAUGCUCAACUAUCAUGUCAUUGGAUAUUAAUCAUAUCCGGAAAUUUAAAAGCUAACUGAAUUCAGCAGACUUUGACCUUUUGCGAUUGGGAAAAGAAUGACGGCCAUUCUACUAAAAAAUAUGUGAACGGAGAGAUCUGUUCAAGAUCAUUAAGAAUAAUUGUAAAACAAUAAAAAUUAAAGAAAACGCGAAAUUGAGAUAUAUGUAACAAAAUCUUUUGUAAUGUCAUGCUUCGUAUAUCAAUUUUCCAUUGAACAGAAUAAAAAAUCAUAUACUAAUUGAGA